rnacentral:rRNA from 1 species
GACGGACCGUACGAACGUUAUUCGGAAUUACUGGGCUUAAAGGGUGCGUAGGCGGCUCAGAAAGUUGAAUGUGAAAGCCCUCGGCUUAACCGAGGAAUUGCAUCCAAAACUACUGGGCUUGAGUGAGAUAGAGGUGAGCGGAAUUCCCGGUGUAGUGGUGGAAUGCGUAGAUAUCGGGAGGAACACCAGUGGCGAAGGCGGUUGCCUGGAGCUUUGCUGACGCUGAGGCGCGAAAGCGUGGGGAGCGAUCCGG